rnacentral:rRNA from 1 species
CCUACGGGUGGCUGCAGUGGGGGAUAUUGCACAAUGGGGGAAACCCUGAUGCAGCGACGCCGCGUGAGUGAAGAAGUAUUUCGGUAUGUAAAGCUCUUUCAGCAGGGAAGAAAACGAUAGUACUUGACAAAGAAGCCCCGGCUAAUAACGUGCUAGCAGCCGCGGUAAUACGCCGGGGGCAAGCGUUAUCCGGCUUUACUGGGUGUAAAGGGAGUGUAGACGGUUAGGUAAGUCGGGAGUGAAAGCCCAGGGUCCAACCCCGGGACUGCUUUGGAAACUGUGUGGCUGGACUGCAGGAGGGGCAGGCGGAAUUCCUGGUGUAGCGGUGAAAUGCGUAGAUAUCAGGAGGAACACCGGCGGCGAAGGCGGCCUGCUGGACUGAGACUGACGUUGAGGCUCGAAAGCGUGGGGAGCAAACAGGAUUAGAUACCCUAGUAGUC